CAAUAGCAUAUAUUAAUGUUGUUGCAGUUAAAAAGCACGUAGUUGGAUUUCUGCUGGAGUGCCAAUGUCCGCCCGUGUGCGUGUGCAGCGGCGCCCCUGCAUCCUUCGGUUACCUCCGCUCGGCAUUCACUUGCCGGCGGUUGGCUCCGAAUAUUUACCUUGAGAAAAUUAGAGUGUUUCAGGCAGGCUAAGCCGGAAUACAUUAGCAUGGAAUAAUAGAAUAGGACUACGGUCUCGUUGUUGGUUUGAGGGACUGGAGUAAUGAUUAAUAGGGAUAGUUGGGGGCAUUAGUAUUUAAUUGUCAGAGGUGAAAUUCUCAGAUUAACUAAAGACUAACUUAUGCGAAAGCAUUUGCCAAGGAUGUUUUCAUUAA
rnacentral:rRNA from 1 species